rnacentral:rRNA from 1 species
ACAUACGACCACAGGAUAUCCGAUUUCACUCGAUCCCGUUCGCUCUCGAAAAGUUAAACGGUAUACCGGCGGUUUAGUAGUCAGGUGGGUGACCACUGGCGAAUCCCUGCUGUUGUAUGUU